rnacentral:rRNA from 1 species
CGGCGUCACGAGUGGCAAUCACAUUUAUUGGGUCUAAAGCGUUCGUAGCCGGUUUAGUAAAUCUUUUGUGAAAUUGUCGGGCUUAACUCGACAGCGUGCAGAAGACACUACUAGACUUGAGACCGGGAGGGGUUAGAAGUAUUUCAGGGGGAGCGGUAAAAUGUUAUAAUCCCUGAAGGACUACCAAUGGCGAAGGCAUCUAACCAGAACGGAUCUGACGGUGAGGAACGAAGGCCAGGGGAGCGAACCGGAUUAGAUACCCGCGUAGUCC